GGUUUCUUGUAUUUAUUUAAGAGAUCUAGCCUGCCCACUGAAUUUUUAAAGGGCCGCAGUAUUUUGACUGUGCAAAGGUAGCAUAAUCAUUAGUCUUUUAAUUGAAGGCUGGUAUGAAUGGUUGGAUGAGGUGAAUACUGUUUUAUGUUAAUUUUUAUUGAAUUUAGAAUUUAAGUAAAAAUACUUAAAUUUUGUUAAGGGACGAGAAGACCCUAUAGAGUUUAAUAAAUUAAAUAAUUGAUUAAGUUAUUAUUUAAUUUUUGUUCAUUAUUAUAUUUAUUUGGUUGGGGUGAUUAAAAGAUAAAAUAAACUCUUUUUUAUUUUAAAUAUUAUAUUUAGUUUUUAGAUCCAUAAUUAAUGAUUAUAAGAUUAAAUUACCUUAGGGAUAACAGCAUAAUUUCUUUUGAGAGUUCAUAUCGAAAAAGAAGAUUGUGACCUCGAUGUUGGAUUAAGAUUAGUUAUAGGUGUAGAUGUUUAUGAACUAGGUCUGUUCGACCUUUAAAAUCUUACA
rnacentral:rRNA from 1 species